rnacentral:rRNA from 1 species
GAUGAACGCUGGCGGCGUGCUUAACACAUGCAAGUCGAACGAAGUGGCGAACGGGUGAGUAACGCGUAAUCAACCUGCCCUUCAGUGGGGGACAACAGUUGGCAACGACUGCUAAUACCGCAUACUGAAGGUGGGGAUUGCGUCUGAUUAGAUAGGUGGAGGGGUAACGGCCCACCAAGGCGAUGAUCAGUAGCCGGUCUGAGGGGAUUGACUGCGACAAUGGGACUGGGGCACGGCCCAGACUCCUACGGGAGGCAGCAAUGGGGAAACUUCCGCAAUGGACGGAAGUCUGACGGAGCAACGCCGCGUGGGGGAUGACGGCCUUCGGGUUGUAAAGCUCUGUUAAUCGGGACGCGGUACCGGAAUAGAAAGCCACGGCUAACUACGUGCCAGCAGCCGCGGUAAUUC